GAUGAACGCUGGCGGCGUGCCUAAUACAUGCAAGUCGAGCGAACGGACGAGAAGCUUGCUUCUCUGAUGUUAGCGGCGGACGGGUGAGUAACACGUGGAUAACCUACCUAUAAGACUGUGAUAACUUCGGGAAACCGUAGCUAAUACCGGAUAAUAUUUUGAACCGCAUGGUUCAAAAGUGAAAGACGGUCUUGCUGUCACUUAUAGAUGGAUCCGCGCUGCAUUAGCUAGUUGGUAAGGUAACGGCUUACCAAGGCAACGAUGCAUAGCCGACCUGAGAGGGUGAUCGGCCACACUGGAACUGAGAAACGGUCCAGACUCCUACGGGAGGAAGCAGUAGGGAAUCUUCCGCAAUGGGCGAAAGCCUGACGGAGCAACGCCGCGUGAGUGAUGAAGGUCUUCGGAUCGUAAAACUCUGUUAUUAGGGAAGAACAUAUGUGUAAGUAACUGUGCACAUCUUGACGGUACCUAAUCAGAAAGCCACGGCUAACUACGUG
rnacentral:rRNA from 1 species